rnacentral:rRNA from 1 species
UACAGAGGGUGCAAGCGUUGCUCGGAUUUACUGGGCGUAAAGCGUACGCAGACGGUUUGGAAGGUCGGACGUGAAAGCCCCAGGCUCAACCUGGGAAAUGCGUCCGAAACCGCCUUACUUGAGUAUGGGAGAGGGAAGCGGAAUUCCUGGUGUAGAGGUGAAAUUCGUAGAUAUCAGGAGGAACAUCGGCGGCGAAGGCGGCUUCCUGGCCCAUUACUGACGUUCAGGUACGAAAGCGUGGGUAGCAAACAGG